GAUGAACGCUAGCGGCAGGCUUAACACAUGCAAGUCGAGGGGCAGCGCGAUGUAGCAAUACAUUGGCGGCGACCGGCGCACGGGUGCGUAACACGUAUGGAAUCUGCCCUUUACUGGGGGAUAGCCCGGAGAAAUCCGGAUUAAUACCCCAUAACAAUCGAGGUGGCAUCACCUUGAUUUGAAAGCUCCGGCGGUAAAGGAUGACCAUGCGCACGAUUAGCUAGUAGGUGAGGUAACGGCUCACCUAGGCUACGAUCGUUAGGGGGCCUGAGAGGGUUAUCCCCCACACUGGUACUGAGACACGGACCAGACUCCUACGGGAGGCAGCAGUGAGGAAUAUUGGACAAUGGGGCGCAAGCCUGAUCCAGCCAUGCCGCGUGCAGGAUGACGGUCCUAUGGAUUGUAAACUGCUUUUGCACAGGAAGAAACAACGCUACGUGUAGCGUCUUGACGGUACUGUGAGAAUAAGGAUCGGCUAACUCCG
rnacentral:rRNA from 1 species